CAGCCGCCGCGGGAAUACGUAGGUGGCAAGCGUUGUCCGGAAUUAUUGGGCGUAAAGGGCUCGCAGGCGGUUUCUUAAGUCUGAUGUGAAAGCCCCCGGCUCAACCGGGGAGGGUCAUUGGGAACUGGGAAACUUGAGUGCAGAAGAGGAGAGUGGAAUUCCACGUGUAGCGGUGAAAUGCGUAGAGAUGUGGAGGAAUACCAGUGGCGAAGGCGACUCUCUGGUCUGUAACUGACGCUGAGGAGCGAAAGCGUGGGGAGCGAACAGGAUUAGAUACCCCUGUAGUCCCUGUCUCUUAUAA
rnacentral:rRNA from 1 species